CGGCGAAUUACGGGGCAGUUCGUCUUUGGCACAAAGGCACGUCCAGAACUACUCGAUGAGGGUCACUUGAGCUGAACUGAACAUGCGUGCCAAAGGAGAAUUGCCCUGCGAUUCGCCC
rnacentral:pre_miRNA from 1 species